UACGUAGGGACCGAGCGUUGUCCGGAAUCAUUGGGCGUAAAGAGCGUGUAGGCGGCCGUACAGGUCAGCUGUGAAAACUCGAGGCUCAACCUCGAGACGUCGGUUGAAACCGUACGGCUAGAGUCCGGAAGAGGAGAGUGGAAUUCCCGGUGUAGCGGUGAAAUGCGCAGAUAUCGGGAAGAACACCCGUGGCGAAGGCGGCUCUCUGGGACGGUACUGACGCUGAGAAGCGAAAGCAUGGGGAGCGAACAGG
rnacentral:rRNA from 1 species